UUGAGUGCACCCUGCUGUUGCAGCGUCUUCAGUGUGAUAAGCAUCUUCACUGAACCAAGUCUUUUGUAGACACGCAAGCUUGCAGGCUCUGUGCUGGCCAACUGUCUUUGUACAAUAUUUGACAUCUGACCUCAAAUUGGGUGGGACUACCCGCUGAACUUAAGCAUAUCAAUAAGCGGAGGAAAAGAAACUAACAAGGAUUCCCUUAGUAACGGCGAGUGAAGAGGGAAAAGCUCAAAUUUUAAAUCUGGUGUCUUUGGCGCCCGAGUUGUAAUCUAGAGAAGUGUUUUCUGCCUCGGACCACGCAUAAAUUCCCUGGAAUGGGGUGUCAUAGAGGGUGAGAAUCCCGUUUGUGGUGUGGACUACCUUGGCUCUGUGAUACACUCUCAACGAGUCGAGUUGUUUGGGAAUGCAGCUCAAAAUGGGUGGUAAAUUCCAUCUAAAGCUAAAUAUUGGCGAGAGACCGAUAGCGAACAAGUACCGUGAGGGAAAGAUGAAAAGCACUUUGGAAAGAGAGUGAAACASCACGUGAAAUUGUUGAAAGGGAAGCGUUUGAAGUCAGUCGCAUUGGUCGGAACUCASCUUGGCUUCUGCCUCGUGUACUUUCUGGCAAAUGGGUCAGUGUCAAUUUUGACCGAGGGAGAAAGACCUGAGGAAUGUGACUGUCUUNGGGCAGUGUUAUAGCCU
rnacentral:rRNA from 1 species